UUUCUCUGCUGCUGAUCUGGGCUGCCUCCCUUCCUAACAGAUCAAAGGAAUUAAAUUUGGGACAACCACCCCCCCUAGUACUGCUGGAAUGGAAGAGGCCAAUUAGUGCGGGAAACCACCUGAAACUAUAAAUACGUGGAGAGCAAGGCCCGCCUGCCGCAGUCUGGAGAGGAGUCCGGGAGGAGGAGGAGGAGUUGUGCAGGGUGCAGCUGCAUGCCUGCCUGCAUGCGUAUUCGCGUUGGACGUUGGUGCGUCACAGACUCACACAGUCACUGCUGGACUCUGAGUUCCAUAUUACCUACUGUAGCCUAGCCUGGACAAUUGCCUCUGCAUGAAUUACUCAGUGUGGCCCUGCAUACACCACCUGCUAAUCUUCACUAAUUGCCUCUUCUACCUUACGGAUACUGGAAAUUUGGUACAUCACAGACAGCGCUGCCCAUAUAGGAAACCUACUGUAGCCUGGAUGGUUGCCUUGCUUUUGCUGGAAUAACUCAGUGUGGCCCUGCAUACACCGCCUGCUAAUCUUCACUGGGUCCAAUAAUGUCACCACCUUCAAAUUCAAAAAAACACAAGUCAGGAUCACUUAAAAGAAAAGAGUGUUUUAAAAAGAAGAGAGAACAACAGCUUAUAUCAAAGCAUGCUACUCGGUUUUGGUCAGAAUUUAGAAUUAAAGCUACAUUAUCACAAUUUCCUGAAAAACCUCAUACAAGUACAAAUGAUGCAUUUUUGAAUACUGUUGAAGUGACUGCAAGCCCUACGUGCACAUCACAUGAUUUGGUUACAAGUUUGUCUGAGACAACGGAUAAUGCAAAUAUAUGUCAUUUAACAGAACAGAGUGAAAUUACAAAGUUACAGGAAACAAAUGAUACUGAGCUUGCACACACUGAUGUACAAAUUUGUCCAGAAACAGGUGAAAUAGAUAAUAUUGCUUUUUCUACAGCUGCUUCUAUAGCAAGUAUUUCCAAUAGUGAAAAAGAUAAAAUUGUGGCUUCUACUGAUCCUGCUUUGUGGCCAAAGCAAAAUAAAAAUUUGCUUCAGGA